CACAAUGUUUCAUGUGAUGGAUUCUUCGUUUUCCUGGGAUGAUUGGCACAAAAUUCACUAGGAAAAUCCGCCUCGAGAUAUAUGGUUCUUCACGAUAAGGAUUCGCCCAGAUACACUUUUCUUCAGGAACAACACAUGUUGUUCUGGGAGCGUUGUAAUGAAUAGUUUGAUUCGAAUGGAACUUUCAACGGACAACUCAAAAACAAAGAUACAAAUACGAACAGAUACAAAUGAUUCCUCUCCCUGAAUGACGAAAAGAAACAGGAUCAUGAUCGAGUGCAGAUGACAAUGGAAGAAUCUUAUGGGAUCGACUUAGUUGACGCUGCGAUUAGAUCUGUUCCCUAGUACUCUGCUCGUAGAAUUAUUGUAAUGACAAUUAUUGUUUGUUUGUUAUUUACUUAUUAUUGAAGAAUUAUCCCAACUGUAUAUAGAAUGAGUUACUAUUGAUGUAUUUGAAGUAUGUAGAAUAACAUGU